UACGGAGGGGGCUAGCGUUGUUCGGAAUUACUGGGCGUAAAGCGCACGUAGGCGGUUUUGUAAGUUAGAGGUGAAAGGCCUGGGCUCAACCUAGGAACUGCCUUUGAUACUGCAUCACUUGAGUCCGGGAGAGGGUAGUGGAAUUCCCAGUGUAGAGGUGAAAUUCGUAGAUAUUGGGAAGAACACCGGUGGCGAAGGCGGCUACCUGGCCCGGUACUGACGCUGAGGUGCGAAAGCGUGGGUAGCAAACAGG
rnacentral:misc_RNA from 1 species